ACAAAGACCCUGUUAUCCCAAUCAUCAUCACGAGGACUAGCUGCGCCGCAGCUUAAAGGGACAUUUCAUAGCUUAAAAAAGACAAACUGUUGGUCCUGCCACCUCCGACUACAAAGGUGUCGCUACUGAUAAGCUUUUUUGGAUCUUGAAGAUGCCACAUCUCACGUGUGGAAAUUUCACUAAUGCGGCUGUAGCAAGUGACCAGACAGAUGGCCGCAUUUGAGUGGGAGCCUCUUUAGCAAGAGCUUUUUAAAAUCUAGCUCCACCCAGGAGCUCUUUAUCUUCUUCAGAACCCACGGAAUUACAGACGUCUGCACCAACCUCCGUGGGACCUCGGAGUCCAGGAGAACGAAUACGAAGGCGCUGAUGCUCAUGCUGCCUGCUGGCUGGGCCCAGGACUCGAGGCUCCCAGCCUAGAAACUCCAUCCUUAAGCUCAGGACCCAGGCCCCUGGCCUUACCGUCUCCAUUCUGGUGACACAGGUAAGGAAAACACCACACGCUGCCCAGCCCGACAGAGAAGGCAAUCUGGACGAAGAUGCUCUCAGUGUUUUUAGACCGAAUGAAGUGGUUUGGGGUCUUGGUGGCCCGGAUCUCCUUGCUCUUGAGCCUUCAGGACAGGGAGUUGGGGGUCUGGAAUUUCUUGGAAGACUCUUUCUCUGUCAGAUAAUUCCUCUAAAGGACUCCAUGGCUUUCUUCUUUCGGGCCUAGUAUAUCCUGAGGAAAUCUUGGGGUCACCAAGAGCAGAAUUUAAAGGACACGUCUCAGGUGCGAGACUCUG